rnacentral:rRNA from 1 species
GAUGAACGCUGGCGGCGUGCCUAAUACAUGCAAGUCGAGCGAACAGAUGAGGAGCUUGCUCCUCUGACGUUAGCGGCGGACGGGUGAGUAACACGUGUAUAACCUACCUAUAAGACUGGGAUAACUUCGGGAAACCGGAGCUAAUACCGGAUAACAUAUUGAACCGCAUGGUGCAAUAGUGAAAGACGGUUUUGCUGUCACUUAUAGAUGGAUCCGCGCCGCAUUAGCUAGUUGGUAAGGUAACGGCUUACCAAGGCAACGAUGCGUAGCCGACCUGAGAGAGUGAUCGGCCACACUGGAACUGAGACACGGUCCAGACUCCUACGGGAGGCAGCAGUAGGGAAUCUUCCGCAAUGGGCGAAAGCCUGACGGAGCAACGCCGCGUGAGUGAUGAAGGUCUUCGGAUCGUAAAACUCUGUUAUUAGGGAAGAACAAAUGUGUAAGUAACUAUGCACGUCUUGACGGUACCUAAUCAGAAAGCCACGGCUAACUACGUG